GUCUCUGUCAAAUAAAUAAAUAAAAUCUUUAACAAAACAAAACUUUACAGUCAUACCAUAAUACAUGUGGUACUUGAGAGGCUACUGUCAUAGAAGAACAGGAAGUAGAGGAAGACCAGUUCUGCCAUAGGACUUUCUGGAAGAGAAGGGAGUAUGGGCGCUUUACCAUAAAAUAAUUUGCAGACAUUUAACAGUGUUCUUUUGCCUGGGUUCCGGAAGCCAUUCAUACGAUGCCUAUUUCAAUUAGAUUUUAAUCACCCACAGCUAGUGUAUUCCUUUAACAAAUGCCUGAUGCUACCAUGCGGAAUGAAGUGUGCUUUAUGCCUGCUCUGAAUGUGUGCCCACCUGCCUUGUGAUACCUAGAAGUCUCCUUCUGGGAGCAGUCCAGGUACGGUGAGGGGGAGGCGUUCGGUGGGGAACUACGGAACAGAAGCCCUAACCCUCACAUGCCUAUGGGGGGAGCAUAUAACUCUGUUAGGGCUCUGGCCUCUUGUGGUCAGAGGCUGUGUGAGUUCAGCUAGGGAGCUAUGAGGUAAUGGUAUUGAGUUCCCUACUGCUUGCUUUUGAAUGUAGCAAAAACACCAAGCUCUGCCCGCCCUAAAGCUCUGAUACACAAAAUGCCUCUUGUAUCUCUGCUGCUUCUGUUACUCCUCACCGGCCCGGGAGAGUCUAAGCCCUUUAAAUUGGCAUACAAGGAAGAUUCUUCUCAAGUGUGCCAGGGGUUGUUUGAGGUGCUUGGGAGACAAAGACAAAACCUGCUCCUCCUCUCAAGCAAGAGAAACCCCACUCAAACAGAUUUAUAGGGAAUAAAAUGUACAGGGGAAUAAAAUUAAAAUAUAUUGACUUAGGGAACUGCAAGUUCCAGGGAGUAAAUGUAGGUAUCACUGGAUCCAGCUCAGAUGAUUUUCAGGAUUUGGUUUUUUCUUCUCUUCUCAGCUGUAUUUCCCUCUAUGUUGGCUUCCCUCUUGGGUAGGCUCUCCCCUAUUGGAAAGUGGCCCCAAUUUUUCCCUUAAUGAGGACUCCAAGCAGCUCCAAGUUUACCUCAUCCCAAAUUCAUGUUCAGAAAAAAGGAGAUUCUUUCUUCUAAACAGUUGUUUUUUUAAAAAAAAAAAGUCCUGGAUCUGACUCUUACUGUCUCGCAAAGUGAGUCAUAGGCCCCUCAUAAACCAAUCAUGGAUUUGGAAUACACUGAUUGGCUCAAGUCUGGGUGUCAGGACCACCCUGGAGUAGCGGAUGGAAUGGGCUCCAUGAGAACCAUAUGGAUUGAGUCAUGAGUGGGGGGAAUUGGGUCUUCAAAGGGAAUUCCGGGCACUAUUAUUAGAGGAAGGAUGAGUGAAUACUGGGCAAGCACAAAGUACACAAACUAAAAUCUAACCUUCAUUCAGCUGUUGCAGUAAGUCCGUUGUCUUGUCAUAAUACAGUGUUCUGUAUGGGGUCCAGAAAAUUGUUGGAGAGCAAGACUUUGUGGGGUCUCUUCAACAUAGAGAGAAUACUCUGGUUUUCAGGCUUACUACAGUUAUCCAGAGAAAAGAACAUCUGCUUAUUUGCAGACUAGAAAAAGAAAAGGCAUAAGGUAAGAAAAACAUUCCUUAGGAAGAUCCAACUCCAUCUGCUCAAAUUAUUUGCUUAACAAGCAACUUUCUGAACUUGGUUUCUUGAAAGGUCCUACCUGCCACCCUAAGAGACUCUGGCACAAAUAACCAAUAGUUGUGUCUUUCCAGACAUAGAUGAAGGUAUGGCAUUCCACUGUAUGCAUCUAUUCCUUGUCAUUUCCCUGUGCUUUCUCCCUUGAUGAAAAGAUAAAAAUCAGGUACUUAAACUAGGGAAGCCUCCACAAGUGGAGAUGAUGAGUCAGUAAAGCAGGCUGAAGCAAUCAGCCUCUCUCUUUGCUGCUUGUUAGCUGCCACAUUGCCCUUUUCAGAGGCAAAAUCACAGGAAAAAGCAAUAUUUUUAUCCCUACCAAUUAGCAUCCUGGCUUGCUAUACUUUAACAAGUAUUUUUCUGACUAGUUACCACGUCUUCAUGUUGGCCACCUGUGAGAGUUUAAAUUAUUUUUGGCUCCAAGUUUUCACCCUUCCCUGUAUCCACUCCUUUUGCCUGGAAUUUUUCACUUUCUUUCACUAGGGACAGAGUGGACUUUUCUACCCCUUGACUUUGGGCUUGGUCAUGUGACUUGCCUUGACCAAUGGGAUGUUGGUAAAUGCACCACAAGCAGAGAUCUCAACCUGUGUUUGGGCAGUUGGCUGUGCCUUCUUGCACCACUGCCUUAGCCAUGAGAAGAACAUACCCUAACACAUUGCUCCAAGGGUAAUGACAGACACCUGAGGCUGGCCUUGACUCCACCCUCAACCUGAAACACAGUCCAGUUGACCCCGACUGAUAUUAGCUGGUCUCUACUGAACUGAAGACCCAUGGGAGGGUAUAACUUAUUUGGAAAUAAUUUCAAACAUAUCAAAGUUGCAAGAAUAAUCCAAAGAACAUUUUUUUUUAAAUCUGGAUAUACUAGUCAUUAACAUUUUGUCCCAUUUGCUUUAUCAUUUGCUCUCCUUCUAUAUAAUUUUUUUUCUGGAACAUUUGAGAGUAAGUUAUAUAUAUCAUACGUUUUCACCCCUAAAUCCAUCAGUGUGGUUUGCUUAAGAAUAAGAACGUUCUCUUUCAUAGCCACAGAGCAAUUGUUAACUGCAGGAAAUUUCACAUCGAUACAGUAUUUUUACUUACUCUACCAUUCAUAUUCCAAUUUUAUCAGUUGAGCCAAUAAUGUCCUCUAUAGAAUCAUGUCUCUUUAGUCUUCUGUAAUCUGAACAGUUUCUUAGCUGUUCUUGGACUGUAAUAACAUUGACAUUUAAAAAAAAAAAUACAACCUCUCCCUUCUUUCUUUUUUUUUUUAAAGAUUUUAUUUAUUUAUUUGACAGAGAGAGCACAAGCAGAGGGAGCAGGAGAAAGAGAGGGAGAAGCAGGCUCCCCACUGAGCAAGGAGCCCGAUGCGGGGCUCGCUCUCAGGACCCUGGGAUCAUGACCCGAGCUGAAGGCAGACGCUCAGCCAUCUGAGCCACCCAGGCACCCCUCUCCCUUCUUUCUAUUAUAGAAUGUCUUCGUUUUGUGUUUAGUACUUUCUCAUAAUUCCAUUCAGGCUAUACAUCUCCAGUUGGAAUACCAAAGAAGUGAUAUUGUCAUUCUCAGAGAAUCCCAUUUGGAGGCACAUGAUGUCCAUUUAAUCAUUUGGUCAAGAAAUGGACAAGCUGAUAAAAUUCAUGUGGAAAAAUAAGGCACCCAGAAUAGCCAAAACAUCUUAAAAGGGAGAACAAAGUCGGGAGACUCGUAAUUCCUAACUUCAAUACUUAACUCUGAAACUACAGUACUCAAGACAGUGUAGUACUGGCAUAAGGACCAAUGGAAUAGGGGCACCUGGCUGGCUCAGUCGGUAGAGCCUGUGACUCCUGAUAACAGGGUGGUGAGUUCAAGCCCCACGUUGGGCAUAGUGCUUUCUUACAAACAAACCCAACCUUUAAAAAAAAGAGACUAAUGGAAUAGAAUUGAGUCUAGAAAUAAACUGAUACAUUUAUGGUUAAUUGGUUUUUAACAGGAAUGCGAAGACAAUUCAGGGGAGAAUAGAAUGGUCUUUUCAACAAAUUGUGGAACACUGAAAAUCCACAUGCAAAAGAAUGAAGUUGGACCCCUACCUCACACCAAACUAAAAAAUUAAUUCAAAGUGGGUUAAAGACCUAAAUGUCAGAGGUAAAACUAUAAAACUCUUAGAGGAAAAGAGGUGUAGAUCUUCAUGACUUUGUGUUAGACAGUGGUUUCUUAGACAUGAGCCCCAAAGCACAAGUAACCAAAGAAAAAAUUGGAAAAAUGAACUUUAUGAAAAUUGAAAACUUUCAUGCUUCAAAGGACACUAUCAAGAAAAUUAUGGAAAUAUGGGAGAAAAUAUUUGUAAAUCAUAUAUCUGCUAAGGGAUUUGUAGUCAGAAUACAGAAAGAACCCUUACAACUCAAUAUAAAAAGACAAAACUAUUUAAAAAUGUGCAAAGUGAGUAAACAUUUUUCCAAAAAUGUUUGGAAAUGGUCAGUAAGUACAUGAAAAGGCAUUCAACGUUAUUAAUCAUUGGGAAGUACAAGUCAAAACUACAGCAAGAUACCCUACAUAUCAAAAACAGCUGUACCAUUUCACACUUCUUUAUAAAUUACUGGUGGGAAUAUAAAAUGGUGCAGACAUUUUGGAAAAUACUUUGCCAAUUCCUCAGAAAGUUAAACAUAGAGUUACCAUAGGCCCAAGCAAUUCCACUCCUAGGUAUAUGCCCAGAAUAACAGAAAACAUAUGUCCACACAAAAACUUGUACAUGAGUGUUCAUAACAGCUUUAAUCAUAAUACCCCAAAAGUGGAAACAACCCAAAUGCUCAUCAAGUGAUGAAUAAACACAAUGUGCUUAUCCACACAAUAGAAAAUUAAUCAGCCAUAAAUAGGAAUGAAGUACUGAUACAUUAUACAAUAUGGAUGAACCUUGAAAACAUUAUGCUACAUAAAAGAAAUCAGUGACAAAAGACCAAAUAUGAUUGCAUUUAUAUGAAAUGUCCAGAAUAGACAAAAUAUAGGGACAAGAAAUUGAUUAGUGUUGCCUGGGCUGGAGCUGGGAGCUGGGAGCAAAUGGGGAGUGACUGCGACUGCGAAGACGGUGACUUUCUUUUUGAGGUGAUGAAAAUAUUCUAAAAUUGAUUGUAAAAUUGAUUGUAAAUAUACUAGAAACCAUUGAAUUGUACACUUUAUUUUUUAUUAUUUUAAUCAAGGUAUAAUUGUCAUGUAACAUACUAGUUUUGGGUGUGUAACCUGAUUAUUCAAUAUUUGUAUAUAUUUCAAAAUGAUCACCACAAUAAGUCUAAUAAACAUCCAUCACCAUACAUGAUUAUAAAAUUUUUUUCUUGUGAUGAGAACUUUCAAGAUUUACUCCCUUAGCAACUUUCAAAUAUACAAUAUAGUGUUUACUACAGUCACCAUGCUGUACAUUACAUCCCCAUGACUUAUGUAUUUCAUAACUGGAAGUUUGUACAUUUUGACCCCUCCACCCAUUCUUCUGCCACCCCCCCCACACACACACACACCUCUGGCAACCCCAAUCAGUUUCUGUAUCUGCGGGCUUGGAGUGGUUUUGUUUUUAUUGUUGUUUUAAGUCCCACAUAUAAGUGAGAUCAUAAGGUAUUUCUCUUUCUCUGUUUGACUUAUUUCACUUAGCAUAAUGCCCUCAGGGUCCAUCCGUGUUGUCACAAAUAGCAAGAUUUCAUUCUUUUUCAUGACUGCAUAAUAUUCCAUUGUGUGAAUAUGUGUUUGUAUGUAUAUCUCACAUUUUCUUUAUCCAUUCAACUAUUGAUGGGCACUUAAGUUUGUUUCCAUGUCUUGGCUAUUGUAAAUAAUGCUGCAAUAAACACGGGGGUGCAUAUAUCUUUUUGAGUUAAUGCUUUCAUUUUCUUUUUUUUUUUUCCUUUUCUUUUUCAAAGAUUUAUUUAUUUAUUUAUUUGAGAGAGAGAGCGAGAGAGAGCACACACAGAGGAAGAGGGGGAAGCAGACUCCCAGCUGAGCAGGGAGCCCAACAUGGGGCCUGACCCCAGGACCCCAGGAUCAUGACCUGAGCUGAAGGCAGAUGCUUAACCGACUGAGCUACCCAGGGAUACAGGUCUGUGAUUCAUCAGUCUUCCACAAUUCACAGCGCUCACCAGAGCACAUACGCUCCCCAGUGUCCACCAUCCAGCCCCCCGGAAGGCUGUUUCUAUAGAAGAUCUUAAGUGGAUUGAGCCAUGCAGGCAACUCCUCAGUGCUCGUCAGAAACACUCAUCACUUGGGUGCCUAUCAUCUGUUUAAUAGACAUUGUGGAAGUCUUGGUUUCUGCAAUUUCUAGAGCAAAAUUCAGGACAAAGUAACCCCUUUGAAGAUAUUCAACGCACAGCUUCUCUCCUUCAGGGAAGCGAUGAAGUGAUGUCUGUCUGCCAAUGUGAAUACUCAGCUGAGAAUGAUCAGAUAGAAGAGGGCUUUGUGACACAGUACCUGAAUGUCAGAGCAACCUCUGAAAACUCAUAAAAACAUGAUGGUAUAUAAGCUUUUUUGAAUUUUCAUGACUACCCAGGACAACACUAAUUUGUCAGUAUAAAUUUAAUACAGCAGAUUUCUAUUUCUCACCAGACAUUUCUGUGCUUUUAUGUAAGUAUAAGAUUUUGUUUGUCAAACCCUCAUUUUUAUCUGAUUAUCAAAUAAACAC